rnacentral:lncRNA from 1 species
AUCUGGGGCCAAACCGAAUUGAUUGUUUUGAAUGAUUUGGUGUACCAUAUGAUAAAGAUAUAAAUAAAUUGAGUUAUGAAAAAAAAAUAUUAAAACAUUUUUCUGAAAUUGUUAUACCCUAGAGCCUCCUUAAAUGUCAUUUGAUCUCUAUUGGAGAAAUGUCUCAUUGGAAAUCAGACUGCUAAGUGUUUCUUAUUUUUAUAUCAACCCAGCCAUAUUAUACCUGUCUAAUAUCAGGAGCUUGUACAUAGUUCAGUGGUUGAUGUUGGUUCAUACCCGUCAUUUUUAUUUUUCAUAAUUUUUUGUUUUUAUAAAUUAGUCUGGUAUAUUUGACGUUUGAAUUGAUGCUCUGUUUCAAAUUUGGUUAGUGUUGACUUUUAUAGAUUACUAUAACAUGUAUAGGGUAUGGGUUUUCUCAUUACUUACAGGUCAUCAAUGGCCUCUAAUAAGUAAUUACAAUGCUUACAUCCACUAAAUUGAACUCUGAUGGAUAGUUUUCUCUUUCAUCAUACCACAUCUUAUUUUAAUAAAUAUUUAAUUAUUAUUCAAGGACAAAAAAAUUUUUAUAACAG